rnacentral:tRNA from 1 species
UAUUCUUUGACUCAAUUGGUUAGAGCGCUGCCUUCAAAUCACGAGAUUGUGGGUUCGAAUCCCGCUGGUACCA